CAGGGAGGGGUUGGUCACGACAAC
rnacentral:siRNA from 1 species